rnacentral:rRNA from 1 species
GACGAACGCUGGCGGCGUGCUUAACACAUGCAAGUCCAACGCUGAAGCUCAGCUUUUGUUGGGUGGAUGAGUGGCGAACGGGUGAGUAACACGUGAGUAACCUGCCUCCUUCUUUGGGAUAACGCCCGGAAACGGGUGCUAAUACUGGAUAUUCACUGGUCUUCGCAUGGGGGUUGGUGGAAAGGGUUUUUCUGGUGGGGGAUGGGCUCGCGGCCUAUCAGCUUGUUGGUGGGGUGAUGGCCUACCAAGGCUUUGACGGGUAGCCGGCCUGAGAGGGUGACCGGUCACAUUGGGACUGAGAUACGGCCCAGACUCCUACGGGAGGCAGCAGUGGGGAAUAUUGCACAAUGGGCGCAAGCCUGAUGCAGCGACGCCGCGUGAGGGAUGGAGGCCUUCGGGUUGUGAACCUCUUUCGCUCAUGGUCAAGCCGCAACAAUGGUUGUGGUGAGGGUAGUGGGUAAAGAAGCGCCGGCUAACUACGUG